UUAAAGGUUUGAGUAUGUUUGGUGUGUUGGAAAAUACAUUACUUAAGAAGCAGCCAGCAUAGUGGAUAAGAGCAUUGGCUUGGCAACCAGACUACCUGGAUUCAAAUCCCAGUAGUACUACUUUGUACUACUUUUUAGACAAGUUAUUAAACCUUUCAGUGACUCAUUUUUCCUCAUCUGUUAAAUGUCAAUAAUAAUGCUCCCUAACUUACAGGGUUAUUGUGAGGAUUAAAUCACUUAAAAUGAAUGAAUGCUUAGAAUAGCACCUGGCAUGUAAGUACUUUAAAAUGCUUGUUUCCACUAUUAUUGUCAUUAAUGUUUUUUCUUUCUUUUAAAAAAGGUGACAUUAUCCAUAUUAAUUCCCAUGAAACAACUAUUAUUUUAAACCAAAAUUCUAAAGGCCAAAACUCUAAAUGACUGAGACUUGGAAAUUUAGCUCUAAAUUUGGAGGUUUUUGUUUGUUUUUGUUUUUCUUGAGACAGUGUCUCGCUCUGUCACCCAGGCUGGAGUGAAGUCGCAUGUUCAUGGCUCACUGCGGCCUUGACCUCCUGGCCUCAGGUGAUUCUCCCACCUCAGCCUCUCUUGUAGCUCGGACUAUAGGCAUGCACCACCACACCCAGCUAAUUUUUGUAUUUUUUUUGUAGAGAUGGGAUUUUGCCAUGUUGCCCAGGCUUGGAGUUAUUUUUAAUGGCUAAAAAUAAUAAAGCUUCUAAAUUCAGCUCUCAAGUAACACAGUAUCAGUAUUCUAAGUUAUGGUUAUUCUAGUUACAGAUUUAAGCUUUCUACUCCAUGGAGUAGUUGAUGAACACCCUAGAUUGAGAGUCAGGAGACCUGUGACCUGGUCCUGACUUGCUGUCUACUUUCUGUUGAUCGUGAGCUGGUCCUUUCCCAUCACUAGGCAUUAUUUUCUUUAUUUGAAAGACAAAAAGAAGGCCAACCGGAGUACGUAAUCCCAGCAUUUUGUGAGGCCAAGUUGGGUGGAUUGCUUGGGCCCAGGAGUUCAAGACCAGCCUGGGCAACAUAGUGAGACUCCGCCUCUACAAAAAAAAUUUAAAAAUUAGCCAGAUAUGGUGGCAUGUGCCUGUAGUCCCAGCUACUUGGGAUGCUGAGGUGGGAUGAUCACUUGAGCCCAGGAGGUUGAGAUUGCAGUGAGCUGUGACUGUGCCACUGCACUCCAGCCUGGGCAACAGAGUGAGACCCUGUCUCAACAAAGAAAGAUGAAAAGUUAUUUGUUGGAGUAAUUGUAAAGGUCCAUGAAUGUUUAAUCAUGGACAGCUUAUACUGGAUAAAGCCAGUUUAGUUUUUGUUUCAUAGUUCAAAAAUACUUUAAGGCUCAAAUUGAAAGCUUUUAUUGGUCAGUUGAUACUAAAAGUGCAGUGUUAAGAGAACUUAAAAACCAUGCACAUUUUCAGUUUCAUAACAGGUUUUCUCUUUGUUUUUAUUUUCUAAAUAAUUGAUAACUUUGGAGGUCAUAAACUUUUAGAUUUUAAACCUUACUUAAUGCCACAUAUGUACUAUGUUCUAUAGCUGAAGUUUAUCAGUAGUGUUUGAACAGUAGGAAGAUUGUUUUGGAAAGUUGCUUGGAAUAGCAAGACUUAAUGAAUUUAAAUAAGACUAAUACUUGAUUAUUUUUUAUAUUGGUACCUUUAUAAAUCCUUUAACCUAAUUAAUACAUACUCUAAGACUUUAAGAAUAAACAUAUCUCUGUCUGUAAUAUUCCCCAAACUUUUUGAUCUGCAAGAUGCUUUGGCAAGGGAAUACAAUAACACAGAAAAUACAAAUAAAAUGAACUAGCAGAAAAGAAAGCCUUUGCAUGUCGUUGAGGGCUAUAAGUAAACAGUUUAAGAGAAAGAAAAAGACAAAGUUGAAAAACACAAGGACUGCAAUUUGGUAGACACUUGAAGUCUAUUAGAAAUUCAUUUAGCCAACUUUGAGUACCAAAACAUGGUAGUUAUAAAGGAGACACAAUGGGUGAGUGGGAAGUUACACAAUCUGUGGACCUUACAUUAAAAAUCACAAAGUACUGUGCAAAAGAAUUGAAAACACAUGUUUACACAAAAACUUGUACACUAAUGUUCAUAGCAGUGUUAUUCAUAGUAGCAAAAAAGUGAAAUUGAAUGUAAUAUAUUCAAUAUUCAAUAUAUUGAAUGUAAUAUAGUAGCAAAAAAGACAAAUUGAAUGUAAUGUAUUCAUACAGUGGAACAUUAUUCAGCCAUAAAAAAGAAUGAAGUGCUAAUGCAUGCUCAAACAUGGAUGAACAUUUACAACAUAAUGCUAAGCGGAAGAAACUAGACACAAAAGGCUAUAUAUUGUAUGAUCUUGUUUAUGGGAUAUAUCCAGAGUAACAAAUCCAUAGAGACAAAGUAGAUUUAUGGUUCCCAGGAGUUGAGGGGAAGGGAGAUGAGGGAGAGUGACUGCUAAUGGGUACAGAUCUUUUUGGGGGGGUGAUCAAAAUGUUCUGGAAUUAGAAAUGGUGAUGGUUGUACAACUUUAUGAAUAUACUAAGGAACACUAAAUUGUAUAUUUUAAAAGGGUGAAUUUUAUAAUAUAUAGAUUAUAUUGCAACAAAAAUUUUAAUAUGUCAUACAGAGAGAACUGACAAAAUACAAAUAACACUUUAUAAGUUUGAAGGCUCUUUUUUAUUUUAAAUAAAGAUUCAUGAAAAUAAAUUUUUAAAGAUUACUGUAGUUUUCAAAUUUAAGGAAUUUAAGAUCUUACAUGGCUUAUUUGUAACCUGCAGUAUUGACCAUUGCCCCUUAUAAUUUAUAGGUAAAUUCUGUUAAUCAGCAUUUUUAAAAGCUCAAUCGAUGUUUUUGAUAUGUUUGCUAGUUAUAAAUUAAAUAACUAUUAGUUAUCCAGUUUUUAGUUUUGUAUGCUACUCUCUUCCCUCAUCAUAUGAUAUUUUAAAAAUCUAGUUCAGUGUUUCUGAUAUAUGAUCCAAAUAAUAUUAAUAUUAUUAAUGUGUUGAAAUAAACACACUAAUACACCUUAGCACACAGUAUACACACUAAAAGUAUUAAUAUUGUUAGUGUGUAUAUUUCUAUAAACACUAAUAAUAUAGAAAUAUACACACUAAUAAUAUUAAUAUUAUUUUAUUAUUUUUGCCUCUUCAUUUUUUGUUGAUCAUCAACUCAUCCUUAGUUACCUCCACCAUCAUCACAAAUCUUUUAAUAUUACUAAACCCUUACCUUCCUUGGUUAUAAAUUAAAAUUAAACACAACUUUUGUCUCUAGAGAUGCAGAUAUAGUCUGUGAAGCUGCUUUGAUGGCAGUGAUUGUGAAAUUCCUCUGAUUGGUUCAGGUUUGGGUAAAUUUCUUUCAGUUUUUUUACUCUAGUUCCUACUACCAAUUUAUAGUUAGCUUAGGACUUGGACACCAGAAUCUAAGUUCUAUGAGAAAUGGACUGAGUCUGUCCUGUUCACAGCUAGAUCUUGAACACCCAAGAAUAUAAUACCUGAUGCAAAGUAGUUGGUACUCAGUAGAUAUUUGUUGAAUGAAAAAUGUCCAAAUCAAAGAAACCACAGUCUGAUGCCCAUAUAUUCCUAUAUACAAAAUUGUACAUUAUACUUAAUAUACAGAAGUGUAUAUUAAACCUAAAUGUUCUAAUACUAUUUUUACAUCUACAACAUAAAAAAGAAUAAUGUAGGCUCAAAUAUCAGAUAAAUCUAGGUUGAGAUUGUGGCCUCAUCAUUUACUUAAAGUGUGUUCUUGGGCAUAUUAGUAGGCAUUCUAAGUUUCAGUUCCCUCUUCUCUUGAUUAUAUAAUAAUUACUACAUGGAAUUGCUAUGGGAGAUUAAUACAAAUAAAGCUCAUAGUACUGUGGCUGUCUAACUUUUUAGCUGUCAUUAUUCUAACAGUUAUUACUAUCCUAUUCUCAACUGUUUUUAAAUAGUAUCUUGCUGUUUUUUAACUUUAUGUCCAUUUUACUGUUCACUCUUAUGAGCCACAGAGUCUGGAAUCCACCUUGGUUCUCUCAGAACUAUUGAUUUUCUUUGUUCUUGUUGGAACAAUUUUCUGCUUUAGAAAAUCUGCAUCAGUCUUCUUCUUUACAGAUUUUCCCUCUUUAUUGUAAAGAUCUUUAAUCCAUUGUAUUUAUUACAAAUUAAUGAUUAAUGGACUGUCUCUGAGUGAAUAAUUCAGCAGCUGAACUAAGGCUGUCUUAAAUAACCACCAAUAUAAGUGAAUUCAGGUAACACCACAAUGGUAACUUUUGCUCUGCUGCAGAUGAUAGCUCUUUACCUUUCGUUGUUUUUUCAUUCAUAAUAUUGAAAUAAGUUUAGUUCUACAGAUUUUAUUUAGUUCAAGAUUGGACCUAGUGUUUUUGUAGUUAGAGUAUCAUGUUUGUAAUUAGCUUAGUCAUUUAAACUAAUGACUUUAAUUUACAACAUUACUCUUUUAAAUAAAUAAUAAUGCCCCAACCUGG
rnacentral:lncRNA from 10 species